CAGCCGCCGCGGGAAUACGAAGGGUGCAAGCGUUACUCGGAAUUACUGGGCGUAAAGCGUGUGUAGGUGGUUGUUUAAGUCUCUCGUGAAAGCCCUGGGCUCAACCUGGGAAUUGCGAUGGAUACUGGGCGACUAGAGUGCGGUAGAGGAUAGUGGAAUUUCCGGUGUAGCAGUGAAAUGCGUAGAGAUCGGAAGGAACAUCUGUGGCGAAGGCGACUAUCUGGGCCAACACUGACACUGAGGCACGAAAGCGUGGGGAGCAAACAGGAUUAGAUACCCGAGUAGUCCCUGUCUCUUAUAA
rnacentral:rRNA from 1 species